rnacentral:rRNA from 1 species
UACGGAGGGUGCGAGCGUUGUCCGGAAUCACUGGGCGUAAAGGGCGCGUAGGCGGCUCAUGAAGGCUGUGGUGAAAGUCCGGGGCUCAACCUCGGAUCGGCCGUGGCGACUCGUGGGCUGGAGCACUGUAGAGGCGGGUGGAAUUCCGGGUGUAGCGGUGGAAUGCGUAGAGAUCCGGAAGAACACCAGUGGCGAAGGCGGCCCGCUGGGCAGUGGCUGACGCUGAGACACGAAAGCCAGGGGAGCGAACGGG